rnacentral:rRNA from 1 species
AACGAGACCUUAACCUGCUAACUAGCUGCUUGGAUUUUGUCCUGGUUUGCUUCUUAGAGGGACUCCUGUGCUUCAAGCGUGGGGGAAGUUUAAGGCAAUAACAGGUCUGUGAUGCCCUUAGAUGUCCUGGGCUGCACGCGCGCUACACUGAUGCAUCCAUCGAGUUUGUCCUGUCCCGAAAGGGUUGGGUAAUCUUUAGUGUGCAUCGUGUCGGGGAUUGAUUUUUGCAAUUCUAAAUCAUGAACGAGGAAUGCCUAGUAUGCGCAAGUCAUCAGCUUGUGCAGAUUACGUCCCUGCCCUUUGUACACA